rnacentral:lncRNA from 1 species
AGAGAUGUGAGCCCUUGGCUGUUCUACUGCCGCCAGCUGCCAUGACUCCGGGCCUUGUUAGUGGUGGACUCUUACCCUCUGAAGUGAGGUCUCAGGCCGUGAUUGGGUGAUUCCAUUGCUGUGUGCCUGCUUGAGUUGAGCACCACGGGAGGGGGCAUGCGCAAGACGCUAGAUUGAAGACGUUCACUUCGCAGUGGACCAGAAGCAAACACAAACAAAAAUCGGUACUGGGGUCCCACUUUUCAAUGCCAGUUGUGAAUCCAUCAGAGAGUUAAUUCAGUAAUCCGCUUUCACAACUCUGUAAGGUAGCCAUGUAUUCAACACAUGAACUUGAGGAAGACAUUUCAUACUUGGAUGGUAACAGUCACGAACAGUUCGAGAGCCUGUGGGGCAGUGUGUCCACAGAUGCCAUGGGAGCGCCACACCUCCCUCUGGUAACUGAACUUUAUUCAUCCUUCUAUUUGGCUGCUCCUGGGUUGUGUUCUUUAUAAUAAACAAUACAACUUUCUACUCGAGUAAGUAUUAAAUAAAAAUUACAUAAGACUGCUGUUCUAGACUAAGCUCCUCCCUCAGGCCCUGAUAGACAGGGCUGAACAUCAAAGCAGGGUUGCCCAUGUUAAAAUUCUGCAUCG